rnacentral:tRNA from 1 species
UGCGGGGUAGUCAAGUGGUAAGACGCCAGGCUCAUAUCCUGGAAAUUGCGGGUCCGACUCCCUCUACCGCUA